CGCAUCAAUCCUUGUUUCUACCGUUUGAUUUUGAUUCAAGAAGGGGAUUGUGUGUACGUGAGCACAAGUAACGAGGGUUGCUUUGAGUUGGGUAUUGUGUUGUUUACGCAAACGAGUUCGUCCGAGCUUGCUCUGUUAGCCUAUAUGGUUGUGUUGUGAAAUGAAUUCGGGUCUGAGUAGGCCGCAAACAAUAUCAGGCUGUAUACACUGGUGGGAUCGUGAGCCA